rnacentral:rRNA from 1 species
UACGGAGGGAGCAAGCGUUAAUCGGAAUUACUGGGCGUAAAGCGCACGCAGGCGGCUUGUUAAGUCAGAUGUGAAAUCCCCGGGCUCAACCUGGGAACUGCAUCUGAUACUGCCAAGCUUGAGUCCCGGAGAGGGGGGUAGAAUUCCAGGUGUAGCGGUGAAAUGCGUAGAGAUCUGGAGGAACACCGGUGGCGAAGGCGGCCCCCUGGACGAAGACUGACGCUCAGGUGCGAAAGCGUGGGGAGCAAACAGG